CAUUCUUGGAGUCUAAAUUGGUACCAAAUUGAAGUUGUGGUUGGAAAGUUGUAUUGUAAUUGGAAGAGAUUUGUGCAUCUCCAACCUGACUUAAUGAGGUACUGGAAUUGGUUGAGGAAGCAACAUGUGUUUUAGAAUCAUAAAUAUCGAAGGUUAAUUGGGUUUAACAUUCUCAAGGAGAUACUUUACAUGUGCAGAUGGAGAAAAUUUUGAUCAAAUUUCAAAUGUCAAAUUUAUUUACUUUUUUG